rnacentral:rRNA from 14 species
UUCUACAGCCAUACCACCCAAAAUGCACCCAAUCUUGUCUGAUCUCGGAAGCUAAGCAGGGUUGGGUCUGGUUAGUACUUGGAUGGGAGAAAUCCCCGUUAAUAUAACAGUUGAGGGGG